GGAUGAACGCUAGCGACAGGCCUAACACAUGCAAGUCGAGGGGCAGCACAUGAGUAGCAAUACGAUGGUGGCGACCGGCGCACGGGUGAGUAACACGUAUGCAACCUGCCUGUAAGAGGGGAAUAACCCGGAGAAAUUCGGACUAAUACCGCAUAAUACCACGAGACUGCAUGGUUUUGUGGUUAAACAUUUAUGGCUUACAGAUGGGCAUGCGUAUGAUUAGAUAGUUGGUAGGGUAACGGCCUACCAAGUCUACGAUCAUUAGGGGUUCUGAGAGGAAGGUCCCCCACACUGGUACUGAGACACGGACCAGACUCCUACGGGAGGCAGCAGUGAGGAAUAUUGGUCAAUGGGCGAGAGCCUGAACCAGCCAAGUCGCGUGAAGGAAGAAGGUUCUAUGGAUUGUAAACUUCUUUUGCAGGGGAAUAAAGGACGGUACGUGUACUGUUUUGUAUGUACCUUGCGAAUAAGGAUCGGCUAACUCCGUGCCAGCAGCCGCGGUAAUACGGAGGAUCCGAGCGUUAUCCGGAUUUAUUGGGUUUAAAGGGUGCGUAGGCGGCCGAGUAAGUCAGCGGUGAAAUUUUGCAGCUUAACUGUAACAGUGCCGUUGAUACUGCAUGGCUAGGAUUUGGUUGCUGUGGGUGGAAUGUGUGGUGUAGCGGUGAAAUGCUUAGAUAUCACACAGAAUAUCAAUUGCGAAGGCAGCUCACAAAGCNNNGAUUGACGCUGAGGCACGAAAGUGUGGGGAUCAAACAGGAUUAGAUACCCUGGUAGUCCACACUGUAAACGAUGAUAACUCACUGCCGGCGAUACACAGUCGGUGGCCAAGCGAAAGCGAUAAGUUAUCCACCUGGGGAGUACGACCGCAAGGUUGAAACUCAAAGGAAUUGACGGGGGCCCGCACAAGCGGAGGAACAUGUGGUUUAAUUCGAUGAUACGCGAGGAACCUUACCCGGGCUCGAACGGUGCAUGAAUAAGCAAGAGAUUGUUUAGUCCUUCGGGACAUGUAUCGAGGUGCUGCAUGGUUGUCGUCAGCUCGUGCCGUGAGGUGUCGGCUUAAGUGCCAUAACGAGCGCAACCCUUGUUGUUAGUUACCAACAGGUAAAGCUGGGGACUCUAACGAGACUGCCACCGUAAGGUGUGAGGAAGGGGGGGAUGACGUCAAAUCAGCACGGCCCUUAUGUCCGGGGCGACACACGUGUUACAAUGGGGGGUACAGAGGGCAGCCAUCCGGUGACGGAGCGCCAAUCUCCAAAACCCUUCUCAGUUCGGAUUGGAGUCUGCAACCCGACUCCAUGAAGUUGGAUUCGCUAGUAAUCGCGCAUCAGCCAUGGCGCGGUGAAUACGUUCCCGGGCCU
rnacentral:rRNA from 1 species